rnacentral:rRNA from 1 species
ACACAUGCAGUCGAACGGCAGCAUGAUCUAGCUUGCUAGAUUGAUGGCGAGUGGCGAACGGGUGAGUAAUACAUCGGAACGUGCCCUGUAGUGGGGGAUAACUAGUCGAAAGAUUAGCUAAUACCGCAUACGACCUGAGGGUGAAAGUGGGGGACCGCAAGGCCUCAUGCUAUAGGAGCGGCCGAUGUCUGAUUAGCUAGUUGGUGAGGUAAAGGCUCACCAAGGCGACGAUCAGUAGCUGGUCUGAGAGGACGAUCAGCCACACUGGGACUGAGACACGGCCCAGACUCCUACGGGAGGCAGCAGUGGGGAAUUUUGGACAAUGGGCGAAAGCCUGAUCCAGCAAUGCCGCGUGUGUGAAGAAGGCCUUCGGGUUGUAAAGCACUUUUGUCCGGAAAGAAAUGGCUCUGGUUAAUACCUGGGGUCGAUGACGGUACCGGAAGAAUAAGGACCGGCUAACUACGUGCCAGCAGCCGCGGUAAUACGUAGGGUCCAAGCGUUAAUCGGAAUUACUGGGCGUAAAGCGUGCGCAGGCGGUUGUGCAAGACCGAUGUGAAAUCCCCGAGCUUAACUUGGGAAUUGCAUUGGUGACUGCACGGCUAGAGUGUGUCAGAGGGGGGUAGAAUUCCACGUGUAGCAGUGAAAUGCGUAGAGAUGUGGAGGAAUACCGAUGGCGAA